GUGAAUCAUCAAAUUUUUGAACGCAAAUUGCGCUUUCUGGCAUCCCGGGAAGUAUGCCUGUUUGAGGGUCAGUAUUAAUAAAAACUCGUUUUAGUUACAAAUUGUUACGUUUCUGGAGUCUGGGCUAUCUUAACAUUUUUGGUUAAGAUGCUUAAAAUUGACCUUUUUUGCGCAUUUUUAAACGCACAUAAAUUUUUUUUUAUUCGUCUAUGCUUAAUGCCAAAAUCUUAUCAGAUUCG
rnacentral:misc_RNA from 1 species